UGCCCCAUGGCUGAGUUGGUUACAGCGUCCGACUGUUAUCAACAUAACAUCGGAAGGUCGUGAGUUCGAGCCUCACUGGGGCAG
rfam:Pisolithus tinctorius Marx 270 unplaced genomic scaffold scaffold_4, whole genome shotgun sequence.